rnacentral:rRNA from 1 species
GACGAACGCUGGCGGCGUGCUUAACACAUGCAAAUCGAACGGAAAGGCCCUGCUUUUGUGGGGUGCUCGAUUGGCGAACGGGUGAGUAACACGUGAGUAACCUGCCCUUGACUUUGGGAUAACUUCAGGAAACUGGGGCUCAUACCGGAUAGGAGCUCCUGCUGCACGGUGGGGGAUGGAAAGUUACGGCGGUUGGGGAUGGACUCGCGGCUUAUCAGCUUGUUGGUGGGGUAGUGGCUUACCAAGGCUUUGACGGGUAGCCGGCCUGAGAGGGUGACCGGCGACAUUGGGACUGAGAUACGGCCCAGACGCCUACGGGAGGCAGCAGUGGGGAAUAUUGCACAAUGGGCGGAAGCCUGAUGCAGCAACGCCGCGUGCGGGAUGACGGCCUUCGGGUUGUAAACCGCUUUCGCCUGUGACGAAGCGUGAGUGACGGUAAUGGGUAAAGAAGCACCGGCUAACUACGUG